AUGAGCUCAUCGUACCAUCCGCAGACAGACGGGCAGAUGGAACGGGUGAAUCAAUGUCUGGAGACCUACCUACGUUGUGCUGUUCAUGCAUGCCCGGCCAACUGGGCGAAAUGGCUAGCGCUCGCAGAGUUCUGGUACAAUACCUCAUUCCACUCAUCGCUGGGCAGAACUCCAUUCGAGGUCAUCCAUGGUCACCUGCCUCGCGAGUUUGGAGUGUCACAGGUCGACAACUGCUCUGUUCCGGACCUGGCAGCAUGGCUACGGGAGAGCUAG
rnacentral:rRNA from 1 species